CCUACGGGGGGCAGCAGUGAGGAAUAUUGGUCAAUGGGCGCGAGCCUGAACCAGCCAAGUAGCGUGAAGGAUGACUGCCCUACGGGUUGUAAACUUCUUUUAUAAAGGAAUAAAGUGAGGCGCGUGUACCUUUUUGUAUGUACUUUAUGAAUAAGGAUCGGCUAAUUCCGUGCCAGCAGCCGCGGUAAUACGGAGGAUCCGAGCGUUAUCCGGAUUUAUUGGGUUUAAAGGGAGCGUAGAUGGGUUGUUAAGUCAGUUGUGAAAGUUUGCGGCUCAAACGUAAGAUUGCAAGUGAUACUGGCAGUCUUGAGUACAGUUGGGGUAGGCGGGAUUCGUGGUGUAGCGGUGGAAUGCUUAG
rnacentral:rRNA from 1 species